UGGGGAAUAUUGCACAAGGGGCACAAGCCUGAUGCAGCCAUGCCGCGUGUAUGAAGAAGGUCUUCGGGUUGUAAAGUACUUUCAGCGGGGAGGAAGGGAGUAAAGUUAAUACCUUUGCUCAUUGACGUUACCCGCAGAAGAAGCACAGGCUAACUCCGUGCCAGCAGCCGCGGUAAUACGGAGGGUGCAAGCGUUAAGCGGAAUUACUGGGCGUAAAGCGCACGCAGGCGGUUUGUUAAGUCAGAUGGGAAAGCACCGGGCUCAACCUGGGAACUGCAUCUGAUACUGGCAAGCUUGAGUCUCGUAGGAGAGAGUAGAAUUCCAGGUGGAGCGGUGAAAUGCGUAGAGAUCUGGAGGAAUACCGGUGGCGACGGCGGCCCCCUGGACGAAGACUGACGCUCAGGUGCGAAAGCGUGGGGAGCAAACAGG
rnacentral:rRNA from 1 species